GUUAAGGUGGCAGAGCCCGGUAAUUGCGAGAGGCCUAAGCCCUCUUCCCCCAGAGGUUCAAGUCCUCUCCUUAACA
rnacentral:tRNA from 1 species